rnacentral:lncRNA from 1 species
UCCCACCCAAACCAAAGGGCCGGUCUCACUCCCACCGUGCACCCCCCAACAGCCCCCAGUCCGUUUCCAGGCGGAGAGGGAUACAGGCCUGAAAACCUGCCCCAGGCUACCCGCCUCCCAGCUGCGAGAGAAAAAGGCUUGGUUCUUCCCCCGCCUGUGGAGUCAGCACCCCGGAUUCGUGCCCUGCCCUAGUUCUGGCCAGGAGGAUUCUCACCCAGUUCAAACUGUUACAACGCUCAGCUAGAGAUUUCCUUCUCCCUGUGGAGUUUUACCCCCUCCUCUCCCGAUGGAUCCCUGUGGUGCCAGCAGGAAUGGGCUGCUCGGGGACCCAGCGAGCUCCGCGGGCCUUUCCGCUGCUUCCUCUACCCCUGUACCUCACUGGGCUCCCCAGACGGACUCAGCUCCAGGUGUCUGUGAACUCAAGAGAAGCCUUUCAUUCUAGACAUAGUAGUUAUUUUCUAAAUCAUCUUUAAACUUAUUUGCUGGAAUAUUGUGGGGGUAAAGUGCAAACUUCCCCUUCACCAUCUGAAGGUUUGCUAAAAAUCAACAGGCAGAAGGCGAAUUAACAGGAGAAAUGGCAUGCCAAUUUGUUUGAUCACAGUUUUACAUGAAGAAUGAAGACCCAAAGACACAUGAGAAAUUGUCCAUUUUUAUGCAACACCAGACCAGGCGAUGCUCUAAGACAGGUACAACAAAGUAUGGACAUGCGUGUAGAAAUACGAGUCAACUAAAGGGUGUGAUCUACUGCUAAUAGGCUGAGUGGGGACACCCAGACUCUUCCUGGCCCCUGUGAGCAGCUUCCUUUCCUUCUGGUGUGGGGCAGGAACUUCUCUGGAAUGGGGAUCUUCUGACCCACAGUCAAACAAGAAUUGGACAGAAGUCACAUCAGGGAGACCAGAGACUAGAGUAUUGCAUCAUAGAGGAAAGACACUGAUGACAAGACCUCAGGGGAGCAGUGGAACUGGAGGCCUGGGAGCUUGGGACGUGUUCUCCGGGUGAAGUUGGCUGGCCAGCUGAUGACCUACACCAGUGCCAUUCACUCCUCAUGUGUCCCCCGGGAAUUCAUAGUGUGUGUCAUCAGGUAAAAGCAACACUACUUUCAGAUGUUUUCUGAUCUCUUUGAGAUCUGGACAACACUACUGUGUACAUAUGGCCAGCAACAAAUUACACUCAAUGAAUAUUUUAGAGAGCAGCAAAGUAAUCAAUUAAAAUGUGGGUAAACAAAAA